rnacentral:rRNA from 1 species
AUUGAACGCUGGCGGCAUGCUUUACACAUGCAAGUCGAACGGUAACAGGCCGCAAGGUGCUGACGAGUGGCGAACGGGUGAGUAAUGCAUCGGAACGUGCACAGUCGUGGGGGAUAACGCCGCGAAAGCUGCGCUAAUACCGCAUACGAUCUACGGAUGAAAGCGGGGGACCGUAAGGCCUCGAGCGAUUGGAGGGGCCGAUGUCAGAUUAGGUAGUUGGUGGGGUAAAGGCUCACCAAGCCAACGAUCUGUAGCUGGUCGGAGAGGACGACCAGCCACACUGGGACUCGGACACGGCCCAGACUCCUACGGGAGGCAGCAGUGGGGAAUUGUGGACAAUGGGCGCAAGCCUGAUCCAGCAAUGCCGCGUGCAGGAAGAAGGCCUUCGGGUUGUAAACUGCUUUUGUACGGAACGAAACGAUCCUGGUUAAUACCCGGGGCUAAUGACGGUACCGUAAGAAUAAGCACCGGCUAACUACGUGCCAGCCGCCGCCGUAACAC